GGCCCCCGUCUCGUGCGGCCGACUAUCGACGCCGCGUCCUGUCAUUCGUGUUGCCUAAUGUUACCGUUGCCUUUCAAGUGCUUGCGUGCUGGUACCCGACCUUCGGGAAGUGGUGAUUCGUACACGGUUGCCUCGCGGUGGAUGCCUCCGGGUGUGCUGCUGCGGCCAAAUGGUGUUUGCGGCGUUGCCUCGUGGUGCCGGCACGUUUUCGUGCCUGCUGCUAUCAAGGAAGCCUCGCUCACGCUGUUGGUUUUGGAUGUUGCUCACGAUAUAGCUUCAUGGCCCUUUUGGUUGCCUUGACCCGACCCUCGAAAAGCUCUCCGAACGUGAUCGUAGAUCCGGGUGUUGCCUCUACCUCUCCACAAUUAGUGGUAGGAUUAUGCAACAUUCGGAACCGGCAUCAGUAAGACGAGCUUGGCCCGCUCAAUUCCGACAACCAGUUCGGCUGUUGCCUUGACCCGACCCGACCCUCGAAAUGCUCUCCGAACAUGAUCGUAGAUCCGGGUGUUGCCUCUACCUCUMCACCGUUAGUGGUAGGAUUAUGCAACAUUCGGAACCGACAUCAGUAAGACGAGCUUGGCCCGCUCAAUUCCACACAAAUGGUCGGGUGGGCAGCAACCGACGCUGGAUGUCAAAGAGGACGUGCUACCUGGUUGAUCCUGCCAGUA
rnacentral:misc_RNA from 1 species